rnacentral:rRNA from 1 species
UGGCGGCGUGCCUAACACAUGCAAGUCGAGCGGGGACGGAGCGUAGCAAGUACGGGCCGUUCUAGCGGCGGACGGGUGAGUAACGCGUGAGCAACCUGUACCCAACGAGGGGAUAACGAACCGAAGUUCACUAAUACCGCAUGAGACCACACUGCCCCAUGGCAGAGAGGUCAAAGGAGCAAUCCGGUUUGGGGUGGGCUCGCGUCUGAUUAGCCAGUUGGUGGGGUAACGGCCUACCAAAGCAACGAUCAGUAGCCGACCUGAGAGGGUGAUCGGCCACAUUGGAACUGAGACACGGUCCAAACUCCUACGGGAGGCAGCAGUGGGGAAUAUUGGGCAAUGGGGGAAACCCUGACCCAGCAACGCCGCGUGAAGGAAGAAGGUUUUCGGAUCGUAAACUUCUAUCCUUGGUGAAAAUACAAGAUGGUAGCCAAGAAGGAAGCCCCGGCUAACUACGUGCCAGCAGCUGC